rnacentral:lncRNA from 1 species
UUUUCUUUCCAAACUUUUCAUCUCGCCCUCUAUGAAAUUAUUCUUCCUACAAACUAAAUUUUCUUGUUCAGUAUUAUACCUAUAAUACUACAAAGCCUUGCUUCGUUUUAAGUAUUGUAACUCUCGAUCACCGCUAUCCUUUCCGAUUGAUCUGAACCCCAUAACGCAUGUCAAGGCUCUGCCCGACUAAGUUCGUUUGGGUUCUGUCUCGGGACAUCGGGACAAGGUUGAUUUAGGGGUACUAUACUUACCACGAGUAGAUUAUAUAUUUUUAUAUAUAUAUAUAGCCCAAAAGUUAUACCCAAAAUUUAUACCAGGAGUCUUUCUAGUUGAACCCUAAAGUUACACAGUGGGUCCAUUCUCUUUAUUUUAUUCUCUUUUUAUGAUCUACCCAAAACUAUUAGUUAUUAUUCUAUUUUGUAAACAACUCUCAUCAAAAGUCAUACCUAUUAUUUUAUUUACUCAAUAGGAAACCCUAGUUGAGACACCCAAGUAAUCCUACACAACUCCUAAAAUUCUCAUAACAAUCAAAAUCAAGAUCAGGGCCCCUAAAACUUAGGAGGGGGAUAUUCCCACUUGAUAAUUAUCUUUAUAUCUCGUUGUCAAAAUUCGAAUUUAAUAUUCCGUCGACUCAUCAAGCCUACACACAUACGUGGCAAGCCUAUAGUGAAAAGGUGUCCCUUACGGACCGUAAGGGAUAAGGCUUACGGUCCGUAAGCCAGUCAAAUUUCGUGUAUAAAUAGCAGGCAUCGGCACUUGCAGUCUGCUGUUCAUUCGACGAUUAAAUUCCGAUUAUACACCGAGUUAUCGUCUAAAUACUCUAAAAACACACACGCGAAUCACUAAUUAGUAUAGCAGGGUGCUGCUACGAUACAGGGUUACAAGGCUAAAUCAAUAGGCUAAGCUCUGCCUGUAUAAAUCUGCAAUAUAUCAAGGCUUAUCUGUAGACUAAACUUUGGCCGUAUGAAUCUGCAUGAUUAUAAUGUAAUUACAGUAGAUUGGAGUAAGGAUUGGAUCCGGCACUAUAAGACUUCAAGAAGUGGCUUAUUUUAUUAAGUAAAUCAAAUUAAGAAAUAUUAUUUUUAUUAAAAGCUACCUUUGUAAAACAUGGAAUUUAUUUCAUCUAUUUAAAUAAAAUCCGGUGUUUCUAAACUCUGAUAAUUUCCUAACUCACGGUCCUGAUGAAAUUUCCGCUGCAAUGUUUUUUUUUAAAAUAAUCACCGGUACCACUAGACUGCUCGCGGCUUCCGAUUCCGGCUAGGAUGGGGUCGGGGGUCGUGACAAUAUGUGUUCCUAAGAGUUAGUCAGAUGCUUAAGCGUACCCCAUUACCCUUAAAACACCAAACCUGUUGUAGAACUAGCUAAUGGUAAAAGUCUUGAGGGUGCAGACAUAGUUAAGGGUUGUAACCUCGCUUUAACUGGUCAGACCUUCUCUAUCGACUCUAUCCCCUUCAUACUUGGUAGCUUCGACGUCGUUAUCGGGAUGGAUUGGUUGACUCAUCAUCGAAUAGAGAUUCUUUGUAAGGAGAAAUAGUCCGCAUUCCUCAUUCUGGUGAAGAACCUCUUAUUAUUUGUAGCAACAAGAGUAGCGCUGUGGUGAACAUCAUCUUUUUCCUUAAGGCCCAUAAGUGCUUACGAAAGGGCCACACUGUCAUCCUAGCUCUUGCUACUGACACCUCGACGAAAAGAAAAGGGGAUAGAAGAUACCCCGAUUGUACACGACUUUCCUGAAGUAUUCCCUGAGGAAUCACCUGGCCUUCCGCCUCAUCGUCAGGUCGAAUUUCAAAUCGAGCUAGCUCCUGGAGCAGCACCAAUAGCUCGUGUCCGCUCAGCUUCAGGAACUUUUGGGCAAGGGUUUCAUUCAUCCUAGCUCUUUGCCUUGGGAAGCUCCAGCGUUGUUCGUAAAGAAAAAGGACGGUGCCUUCCGCAUGUGCAUUGAUUACCACGAACUCAACAAGGUGACCGUGAAGAAUCGCUACUCUCUCCCUCAUAUUGACAACCAGUUCGACCAGUUGCAAGGGAGACAUUUGUGAUUUUGGAACUUCUUCGUAAAGGACAGCUUACGCUAAGAUCUCGAAAUGUGACUUUUGGCUUCGUGAAGUCCAUUUCCUAGACCACGUGGUUAAUAAGGAUGGGAUUCAUGUUGAUCCAUCCAAGGUUGACUCAAUCAAGAACUGGGCUGCAAAUCUUGGGAUUUGUAUGUAACGCUCCGCGUUUUUCAUAACUUUCCAUACUUAGAAGCCGUUGUUCAUAUUCCUAUUUUUGGAAACUUUGUGACCUUGUAUUCGAUGUUUCGUUGUAAUUGUCGAAUAAUCUUUAUCUUUAAUCUAUUUCGUU